AUUGUCUGCGGUAUUAACUUGUGCGGCUUUCUACAUACCGUAACCAUACGAUAUAGCACAUAAUAUCUUCAGGACAGGUUGUAUAAUAAUACUAGUUAAUAGUAAACAGGAUACUUCUACUAACAUAAUAAUGGGCCAUAAGCACGCAAACAAUGACCAAAAAUUACCUGAGCAGGGAAUUUCCCAUAAUAUCUUCAGGACAGGUUGUAUAAUAAUACUAGUUAAUAGUAAACAGGAUACUUCUACUAACAUAAUAAUGGGCCAUAAGCACGCAAACAAUGACCAAAAAUUACCUGAGCAGGGAAUUUCCCAUAAUAUCUUCAGGACAGGUUGU